rnacentral:rRNA from 1 species
CUACGGGCUGCUCCAGUGGGGAAUAUUGCACAAUGGAGGAAACUCUGAUGCAGCAACGCCGCGUGGAGGAUGACACUUUUCGGAGCGUAAACUCCUUUUAUAUAGGAAGAAGAUGACGGUACUAUAUGAAUAAGCACCGGCUAACUCCGUGCCAGCAGCCGCGGUAAUACGGAGGGCGCAAGCGUUACUCGGAAUCACUGGGCGUAAAGAGCGUGUAGGCGGAUUAAAAAGUCAGAAGUGAAAUCCUAUAGCUUAACUAUAGAACUGCUUCUGAAACUCUUAAUCUAGAAUAUGGGAGAGGUAGAUGGAAUUUCUGGUGUAGGGGUAAGAUCCGUAGAGAUCAGAAGGAAUACCGACUGCGAAGGCGAUCUACUAGAACAUUAUUGACGCUGAGACGCGAAAGCGUGGGGAGCAAACAGGAUUAGAUACCCCAGUAGUC